rnacentral:rRNA from 1 species
CCUACGGGCGGCAGCAGUGGGGAAUAUUGGACAAUGGGCGAAAGCCUGAUCCAGCCAUGCCGCGUGUGUGAAGAAGGCCUUCGGGUUGUAAAGCACUUUCAGUGGGGAAGAAAGCCUUGGGGCUAAUACCCUCGAGGAAGGACAUCACCCACAGAAGAAGCACCGGCUAACUCCGUGCCAGCAGCCGCGGUAAUACGGAGGGUGCGAGCGUUAAUCGGAAUUACUGGGCGUAAAGCGCGCGUAGGCGGUCUGAUCAGCCGGUUGUGAAAGCCCCGGGCUCAACCUGGGAACGGCAUCCGGAACUGUCAGGCUAGAGUGCAGGGGAGGAAGGUAGAAUUCCCGGUGUAGCGGUGAAAUGCGUAGAGAUCGGGUGGAAUACCAGUGGCGAAGGCGGCCUUCUGGACUGACACUGACGCUGAGGUGCGAAAGCGUGGGUAGCAAACAGGAUUAGAUACCCGAGUAGUC